rnacentral:rRNA from 1 species
ACGGGUGAGUAACGCGUGGGAAUCUACCUAGUUCUACGGAACAACAGAGGGAAACUUCUGCUAAUACCGUAUACGCCCUAAGGGGGAAAGAUUUAUCGGAAUUAGAUGAGCCCGCGUAAGAUUAGCUAGUUGGUGGGGUAAUGGCCUACCAAGGCGACGAUCUUUAGCUGGUCUGAGAGGAUGAUCAGCCACACUGGGACUGAGACACGGCCCAGACUCCUACGGGAGGCAGCAGUGGGGAAUAUUGGACAAUGGGCGCAAGCCUGAUCCAGCCAUGCCGCGUGAGUGAUGAAGGCCUUAGGGUUGUAAAGCUCUUUCAGUGGGGAAGAUAAUGACGGUACCCACAGAAGAAGCCCCGGCUAACUUCGUGCCAGCAGCCGCGGUAAUACGAAGGGGGCUAGCGUUGUUCGGAUUUACUGGGCGUAAAGCGCACGUAGGCGGAUUGGUCAGUUAGGGGUGAAAUCCUGGAGCUCAACUCCAGAACUGCCUUUAAUACUGCCAGUCUCGAGUCCGGAAGAGGUAAGUGGAACUCCUAGUGUAGAGGUGGAAUUCGUAGG